GUGAAUCAUCAAAUUUUUGAACGCAAAUUGCACUCUCCUCGGAGAGGAUGGCUGUUUGAGGGUUAGCGUAAAAAAAAUAGACGAAGUGGGUGUGUCGCGGUGACAUUCGUUGGAAAUUGGGUCAUCUUAAACCUUUGGGGUUUUUAAGCGGCUUAAAAUUUUCUUUACGAUUCCACGAAAGGUUCUAAGAUUUUACUUGUUAGACAGGUUUAAGGUAACGAUCUUUAGUAGGAGUGGCCGUUGCAGCGGAUCGCGAUCAUA
rnacentral:misc_RNA from 1 species